rnacentral:lncRNA from 1 species
GAUUCAUUAAGGCCCAGAUGUUCUGGGGUCUCGAGACCCGAGUCCUAGGCCCCUCCCGCUUCCAGGGCUGCGGAGUGGCACCACCGUCGUGAGUAGCUUAAACGGACGGCAGAAGAGAGAAACUUAACAGAGUGGAAUGUUAAAAAUGAAAACUGGCAAAACAAGUGGCCGGUUUUAUUGACUGAAAUGGAGAGUGAGUUGUACUUUGGAACUAAGUGAUUUACAAACAUCGCUGGGAUUGUGCCUGAAACACGGAGAUGGUAAAAAUCCUAAGGUUUCCAGCGUCCUUUGGAAGCGCUCCGAGGAGCUCAUAGGAUAUAGUAAAUACCUGCACGCAGCUGCCACGCUGCUGACCUGCGAAAUUCGAAGAGAUGGGCUCUGGAAGAAGCAGCGCGGCGUGUCUCAGGCUCAUUUGAAUGUGAAGUUCGGCCACGGAGCAACCUUGAAGCAGCCUCUCGUCAUCUGGGAAGUCUCCAGCCCGGAGCUGCGUGGGGACCGCUCCCCUUCAAGGGCACCGGCCGAUUCCAGACAAAGAAAUUCAACAAACAAAACAAACGCUCCAGUGUUUUAACUCAGCGGUCUUUCCUCGGAGCACAGAAGAUCGUGGAGCCAAGUUCCCCGUGUCACAGGCCUUUGUUGUAGUUUUCUUGGCGACGCCCUGGAUCCUGGCGGUAGAUGGUUUACCUGAGCCAUGAGUGACAUAGCACAUUUAUGGUUAUUGUAUUUUACAGGUUGAUAGAUUUUUAUAUUCUGUCCAAGUCAGGAUCUUACACCACCUGGUUUAUUAUUUAGUAAUUUACAGUGCAGUCAGGCGCGUUUGGCUUAAUGUAAGAUAAACUUAUAAAUCUAUUGUUCCUUCACUUGCCAGGGUUGGUGUGCAAUGAACUACGGAGCUGGACGCGUCCAUACAUUUCAGCUCAGCUUUUUUCUUUGAUAGGGAAGCAGGCAAUAGAUAACACGGUGACAGUAGCAUCCCAGGGGAUGGCAAAAUGUGAGAGCAACACCACGUCAGCAAGCGCCCUGGCAUGCUCGUUCAAAUGCUGGAAAAUACACUCCACUAUGCUUGGAGAAGGCAGUGGCACCCCACUCCGGUACUCUUGCCUGGAAAAUCCCAGGGAUGGAGGAGCCUGGAAGGCUGCAGUCCAUGGGGUCGCUGAGGGUCGGACACGACUGAACGACUUCACUUUCACUUUUCACUUUCACGCAUUGGAGAAGGAAAUGGCAACCCACUCCAGUGUUCUUGCCUGGAGAAUCCUGGGGACGGGGGAGCCUGGUGGGCUGCCGUCUAUGGGGUCACAGAGAGUCAGACACGACUGAAGUGACUUAGCAGUAGCAUUCUUGAAACAAUAGCCCCAAAGCAAUGACCAGGUAGAACUAUAUACUUCUUACCAUGUGUAAGAUAAGCAAGAAAAACAUAUUGUUUAUAUGUGGCUUCAGAUACAAGCUUGCAUUUCUAGGAAAAAUGUGAAGAAUCCUUAGUUUUUGAGUUAUACUGGCAAGAAGAUUAUAUUGUGCAUUCAGAACUUGUGGUAGAAUAUUUCUGCCAUCUUUCGGAGAAAUAAAAGUGACCACACCGUUUCUUUCUUGUCAGUCAGCAUCUCCAGACGGAGUUACUAAAAUGAAGGAUUCUAAGAUGUUUUCCAGGAAAGAUGAACACGAAAGUGAGUUUAGAUUGAGAUUAUGCCUCUAAAUCCCCAUGCUGGGUUAUGCCAGUCAUUUUGGGAAAUUAUCUAUGAGUCAGGAACAUGAAAGGAUAUGGACAACAAAUACAAGGGAAAUCCGUUUAACUGGAUCGGCAGAAAGUAGAUUAGCCGAGUUGACAGUCCAGAGAGGGAGAUAGGAAGGCCUCUGGGAAUCAGCCUGGUCUGGAGUCAGACUGGACCACGUGUUGGCUGCUCUGCUGAUGGCACGGCGGCUGCCCGCCUGCGGGGCUGGGGGCGGGGAGGGGGCACCUGGCAUGGCCACCGCCACCGUCCUCAUUUCAGCAGGGCUGUGGCAGCAGAGACCACCGAUGACUUCUGUCCGCUGAGGUGCCUCGGGGCAAGGAGCGUGCCUGCAAUGGGCUUUUAAUGAUACUGUUUGAUAACAUUUUCUUGAUUGAUAGAGCACCUAUGUAAUGAAGUUAAGUACCGAAUUAAUACUCAAAUCUAUUCUAAUCCAAAUCCAAUUACUCACUCCUGAGUGCUGGUGUGCAAGUGUGUGUGCAUGUGUUUACGUGUAAAGGAUUAUGUGGUCUGGCCCCUGCGCCGCCGGCACACACGGGCGAAGGCCUGGGAAGCCUGGUCCCCGUGCAGGGAUGCCUCUGCAGUUGCUGCGUUUCCAUGCUGCCCUGUGACCCAGCUCCGCGCUGGCCGAGGACCCAGCUCCAGCAUCUCCUCAUCUGCACCCAGUUUGGACUCAGCUAUGGAUCUGAGCUUAAUAAAAUGUACCACAUCCACCAUUACAGAAGUAUUCAUGUGAUUUUAAUCCUGAGCAUCGUUUUUUCUUUCUCCCUUGUCCUUGUUUUGAUAUUACUGGAGCAAAAGCCUGUAGGAUAAAAAGCCUGAAAUAUUAUACUUUUCAUUUAAUGAUUAAUUCCUUAUUUGCCUUCCUAGCUAAAAAACAC